CUUCCUCCUCCGACCCGCCUCGUCUCCCUUGCACCGACCCUCCCCACCUCCCACCUCACAGCUCCGGAGGUUGCCAGAUCCGCCAAAUCCUCACCCAUACGUCCCUCUUGCGUCCCAUCCCGGUCUCUUCACGCGGCUCCUCGCCGCGCUACACGCGGCGGCUGCAUCAGGUGAUGUCCGGUGAAUCCCGCCAGCGUGAAGCACUGCCCGAGGUCCCUUCGCUCCGUGGAGCCCUCCUAGCCAACUAGAUCCAUCGCUCGUGGCCACCACAGCCCACCCGUGACCCAUCCCCAUGGCUAGGGAUUCGGGUGUCGAAUCUGGUGCCCGUGGCCAUGUCAUCGUCAUCCUCGUCUCAUCCGACGUGCGGGAAGGAAAGUCCAGUGGACAACCUUGCUGCAGCUCGGGAUGAAGCAGCCACGAGCUUCCUCCUCCUCCGGCUUCAGGUGAGUUGCUCUACUCCUCCCUCUGCUCUGGUUCGUGCCAAAUCAGGAGAAUUGUUGUUCUGGUGGUGUUAGGAUUUUCUACUGCUUGGGAUCAAGUGCCUGCUGGUUGAGGUCAAUUUGAUUUUGUUUUGAUCCUAAAGUGUCAAAUCAGAGGAGGACCACAUGUUGGACUGAGUCCCGAUGUGUUGAGGCUGGGAAGGUCGGCAUGGCCUCCAACCAAGGCAAUACUCCUUACUAUGUUGCUGCCUUGCAAGCAGUAGUGGCUAGAAAUCAAUCCCUAGCUGCAUAUUCUUUCUAGGUAACAUCAUUGUAGGGAGGGAUUCUGAAGCCCAUCUAUGAAGUAACCAGUGUGUUUGAGGCAAUUAGUACAAAAAACACCAGGCGGAGGUGUAGCAACGGCAGUUUGAAGCAGAUUAGGCGCCCGCGGGCGUCAAUGACGGCAAGGUUGUUGAGUGAAGGAAAUGGCGGUGUGGCGAUUUGUGUCCUAUUCUCCAUCUUUUAAGCUCAUAACAGAAGAAAGAAUGAUACAAUCGACUUUAUCACUAUUGUUUUUUAAGAAUAAAAACCUUUUUUGUACGCAUGUAUUGAUGAGUACUCCUCUUGACUCGAUUGUGUUGUAGGGAAUGAAACCAUCUAGUUGGGGUGGUCUGCAGCUCUGGUCGCCUCCAGCAGCACCACAUAAUAAAAGUUCCAAAGAGUAGUGUUGCAUUGCUGCCUCCAGCCAACCACAACAUAAUCAUUGGAUGUAUUUCUUAUGUAGAAGAUUUGAGUGAUCUGCACGCACCAACUUGUGGGGGACACCAUGGAAGGUGUACAAAAUUAGCAAUGGAUCUCUAGGCUGGUGAUGACCAAGUAAAUUCGUUUCAGUGGAUUUGGCGUUGUACGUUCAUUCCAAAGCGUGGUGAGCACCUGUAGGUUUGUCUAUUUCCUGUUGGAUGACUGAACCAACUAGAGCUAAAUGUUUUGGUUUAGUUUCAGAUGAAAAACUAUUUUGGUUCAGUUUGCUAAGUAAAUGGAGAAGAGAACAGAAGUAGCACUGUCACUCAAAUUUCCUUUGAAUGCACAACAGCGCUUAGGCUAUUGUCCAUAUAAUGUUAUUGAGCCAUGUUAUUCUGCAGGUUAUAUCGUAUAUUGUGGUGUCUGGAUUAGUCAUCAAUGAUCACUAACACUCAUGCCGGUAUAUUUUCAGAAUCAUAACAGGGACGUACUUCUUGCUACAGUUCCAAGUUAUGAUCCUGAAUAUAAACUUGACAGUGCUAAAAUUAAAAUGCAUUUUGGGGAGUGUAAUACAACACUUGCCAAAAACUGAAGAUUUGGCAGAGUCGCAAAAACUGCAGUACUAUUGAUUGAAAAGAUAUAUGGAUGAUUAUAUGGGUGUGUAACAAGUAUACUACAAUGGUGAUGAUGAUGAUGAUCACGAUGAUGCUGAUGAUAUUCUGGUUCAUGAUGAUGGAUGCUUUCAAUUUUAGUUAAGUUGUGGGAUGUUCCUGUUGGACGAUGUUCCUCAGUUAGUUUUAAUUAACUUGUAGGGAUGUUGAUGGAUGAUUUUAGUUUAGAUUUUGCUGUCGAGAAAAUAUUAGAUUAUGCAUCACAUUUGGAUGAUGUUCCUCCUGUAAUAUCCAUUGUUGUAAUCCAACAGUUUUAUCCAAUAUAUGAUUUCUUCUUUUGUGAGUA